UAAAAAGCCCAUAAUUUUUAAUAACAGUUAUGCUCUGGGGGAUUUCUUUUGCUUAUAUUCUACUGGAGACCAGAUUGGAAAUUACGAUGCACGCAUACUCGUACUACCAUCAAGAAAUCAAGCCAGGUCCUGCUUCGGACAACUGACGAAACCAAUCAAGUUUUUGUCUCGAAGAUUAAUGAGAUUCCCUUGGAAUUGGCGAAUCUGAUUUCUUUAAGAUAUGCUUCACCUCAUCUAGCUGACUUGCAACCAUGCACCGAUAACGAAGCUCUGGUAGAUUAUGGGACAGAAACUUCAUCUUGCCCUGCUGUCAUCUGUUUUAAGCACCACUCAUUAAAGUAUAUCUGGAAUAAAACGUUAGCGGUAAUUACUAUAAUGUUAGUGGUAUUACAUGCAUAAGAAAAGUAUCCAGAUUGUAAUUACUAGGUUAUUUAAGUUACUGAUUACAUUUGAUAUCUGUACAGUAACCAGAGCACUGGUCCAGUAACUACAGAAACUGGGUUUAAGGCUAGAUGCUACCACCAUUAUGGGUGUAUGUGUCUUUGGGAUGGAAAAUUAAAAAAAAGUUCAACAAAUACAGUAGAACGGGAAACAAACAAUCAACUACAAACAUAGACACAACACAAGGUUUUACAUUUUUUUA